UUUCUCUGUUCAAAGAUGCCAAAUUCGUUAUUUUAAUGGUGUUUUCCUUUCUUAUUGCUGCUGGUUGUACUAUUCCUGUGACCUACAUAGCACCGUUUGCAAUAGACAAAGGAUUAGAAACAGAUAUGAUUGAAUACCUCCUCACGAUUUCAUCAGCAAGUGAUUUAAUUGGAAGAACUUUGUUUAUAUUUAUUUCUGAUAAUAAAAAGAUCCAAAGGUGUCAUAUGAUGACCAUAGCAAUUAUGGCAAAUGGAAUUGUCUGUCUGAUAGCAUCGUUCUAUAACGAUUUUGUUACGCUAGCAGUAUUUGGAAUUCUGCAAGCGUCAUUUGGUGGUACAUACUAUUCAUUGAUAAACGUUCUAAUAGUUGAUUUCAUAGGAUUAGAAAAUCUUAGUCAUGGUUUAGUUAUGGGCACGGUAACAAGAGGGACAUCGAUUGCUAUAACAUCAACACUAGUCGGUUUUAUACGAGACAAGACUGGAUCGUAUGUGGGUGGAUUCUACCUCAUGGGGGUCUGUUUGAUUCUUGGUGGAUUUUUAUUGUUAUUGAAGCCAUUUAUAUCAAAAUAAAGAUGUUUUCCUGGGUUAA